GUAUGCGAUCAUACCAGCACUAAAGCACCGGAUACCAUCAGAACUCCGAAGUUAAGCGUGCUUGGGCGAGAGUAGUACUAGGAUGGGUGACCUCCUGGGAAGUCCUCGUGUUGCAUUCC
rnacentral:rRNA from 1 species